UUUUUCUCUUCACAUAGACAGACUCGCGUACAACAUCAAUGUUCUGUGGAGUAUGAGCACUUCUUGGUCGUCCUGUUGGUUUCUUCUUUAGGGCAGAUCCAGUCUCUUCAAAGUUAUUAAUCCAACAUUUUAUCACGUGUUUUGAUGGAACAGCACCAUGACGUCCUAAGUUGUAAAAACGUCGGAACUCAGUCUGCGCAGCUGUCAAACUAUCACAGUUUUUAUAAAAUAUUUUUAUGGCUAACACACGCUGUUGCCUGUUCCACUGAUCCGUGGUUACUAAAAUGGGGGGGUGUUUACUUGCUCAAGGUCACUGUCUCGCAGUGCUGCCACUUUCUCAUGUCUGCCAAUACGCACUUCAACAAUUCCUG